rnacentral:rRNA from 1 species
CGCGUAGGCGGCUUUCCGCGCGUGCGGUGAAAGCCCGGGGCUCAACUCCGGGUCGGCCGUGCGGACGGGGGAGCUAGAGUCUGGUAGAGGCUGAUGGAAUUCCGGGUGUAGCGGUGGAAUGCGUAGAGAUCCGGAAGAACACCGGUGGCGAAGGCGGUCAGCUGGGCCAGCAACUUCGGUUGGCCUGUCGCAAGACAGGUACUGACGCUGAGGCGCGACAGCGUGGGGAGCAAACA